AUGAUAACUUUACGGAUCGCAUAGCCUUGCGCUGGCGACGGUUCAUUCAAAUUUCUGCCCUAUCAACUUUCGAUGGUAAGGUAUUGGCUUACCAUGGUUUCAACGGGUAACGGGGAAUUAGGGUUCGAUUCCGGAGAGGGAGCCUGAGAAACGGCUACCACAUCCAAGGAAGGCAGCAGGCGCGCAAAUUACCCAAUCCCGACACGGGGAGGUAGUGACAAUAAAUACUGAUACAGGGCUCUUUUGGGUCUUGUAAUUGGAAUGAGUACAAUUUAAACCUCUUAACGAGGAACAAUUGGAGGGCAAGUCUGGUGCCAGCAGCCGCGGUAAUUCCAGCUCCAAUAGCGUAUAUUAAAGUUGUUGCAGUUAAAAAGCUCGUAGUUGAAACUUGGGCCUGGCUGGCGGGUCCGCCUCACCGCGUGCACUCGUCCGGCCGGGCCUUCCUUCUGAAGAACCUCAUGCCCUUCACUGGGCGUGCUGGGGAAUCAGGACUUUUACUUUGAAAAAAUUAGAGUGUUCAAAGCAGGCCUUUGCUCGAAUACGUUAGCAUGGAAUAAUAAAAUAGGGCGUGCGUUUCUAUUUUGUUGGUUUCUAGAGACGCCGCAAUGAUUAACAGGAACAGUCGGGGGCAUCAGUAUUCAGUUGUCAGAGGUGAAAUUCUUGGAUUUACUGAAGACUAACUACUGCGAAAGCAUUUGCCAAGGAUGUUUUCAUUAAUCAGUGAACGAAAGUUAGGGGAUCGAAGACGAUCAGAUACCGUCGUAGUCUUAACCGUAAACUAUGCCGACUAGGGAUCGGGCGAUGUUCUUUUUCUGACUCGCUCGGCACCUUACGAGAAAUCAAAGUUUUUGGGUUCUGGGGGGAUUAUGGUCGCAA
rnacentral:rRNA from 1 species